GCGCCGGUGGUGUAAGGCGCACAUUGCUGCCCGGAAAGCAGAAGAUGCGGGUUCGAGUCCCGCCUGGCGCA
rnacentral:tRNA from 1 species